rnacentral:rRNA from 1 species
UGAAUUGACGGGGCCCGCACAAGCGGUGGAGCAUGUGGUUUAAUUCGAUGAUACGCGAGGAACCUUACCUGGGCUCGAACGUAAGAUGACUGUAGGUGAAAGCUUACAUCUCUUCGGAGCAUUUUACGAGGUGCUGCAUGGUUGUCGUCAGCUCGUGCCGUGAGGUGUCGGGUUAAGUCCCAUAACGAGCGCAACCCCUACCUUUAGUUGCCAUCAGGUUAAGCUGGGGACUCUAAAGGAACUGCCUACGCAAGUAGUGAGGAAGCGGGGAUGACGUCAAAUCAGCACGGCCCUUACGUCCAGGGCUACACACGUGCUACAAUGGCCGAUACAGAGGGCAGCUACCUGGUGACAGGAUGCAAAUCUCCAAAGUCGGUCUCAGUUCGGAUCGGAGUCUGCAACCCGACUCCGUGAAGUUGGAUUCGCUAGUAAUCGCGCAUCAGCCAUGGCGCGGUGAAUACGUUCCCGGGCCUU